GGUAAAGGUUACCUGCAGCCCGGAUAGGGAUCAGGCUUAGGGGACAGUGGUAAAGGUUACCUGCAGCCCGGAUAGGGAUCAGGGGACAGGGGUAAAGGUUACCUGCAGCCCGGAUAGGGAUCAGGGUUAGAGGGACAGUGGUAA